CUGACGAGUGGCGGACGGGUGAGUAAUGUAUGGGGAUCUGCCGAAUGGAAGGGGACAACAGUUGGAAACGACUGCUAAUACCGUAUAAUGUCGCGAGACCAAGAGUGGGACCUUCGGGCCACUUGCCAUUUGAUGAACCCAUAUAAGAUUAGCUAGUUGGUGGGGUAAAGGCUCACCAAGGCGACGAUCUUUAGCUGGUCUGAGAGGAUGGCCAGCCACACUGGAACUGAGACACGGUCCAG
rnacentral:rRNA from 1 species